GAUGAACGCUGGCGGCGUGCCUAAUACAUGCAAGUCGAGCGAACAGACGAGGAGCUUGCUCCUCUGACGUUAGCGGCGGACGGGUGAGUAACACGUGGAUAACCUACCUAUAAGACUGGGAUAACUUCGGGAAACCGGAGCUAAUACCGGAUAAUAUAUUGAACCGCAUGGUUCAAUAGUGAAAGACGGUUUUGCUGUCACUUAUAGAUGGAUCCGCGCCGCAUUAGCUAGUUGGUAAGGUAACGGCUUACCAAGGCAACGAUGCGUAGCCGACCUGAGAGGGUGAUCGGCCACACUGGAAGUGAGACACGGUCCAGACUCCUACGGGAGGCAGCAGUAGGGAAUCUUCCGCAGUGGGCGAAAGCCUGACGGAGCAACGCCGCGUGAGUGAUGAAGGUCUUGGGAUCGUAAAACUCUGUUAUUAGGGAAGAACAAAUGUGUAAGUAACUAUGCACGUCUUGACGGUACCUAAUCAAAAAGCCACGGCUAACUACGUG
rnacentral:rRNA from 1 species